AUGGCUCAGUGAGGCCUUGGGAUUGGCCAGGGGAGAUGGGCGACCAUCACCCCAGGCCGAAAACUUGGUCAAACUUGGUCAUUUAGAGGAAGUAAAAGUCGUAACAAGGUUUCCGUAGGUGAACCUGCGGAAGGAUCAUUACCGAGUUAGGGUCUCCUCCGUGAGGCCCGACCUCCCAACCCUGUGUCUACUCAACUUGUACGUGUUGCUUCGGCGGACCAGCAGUCCCCCGCUUACCGCGGGGAACCGUCGCCGGGGGGGAAAAACGGUCCUCUGUGGCCGCCUCUGGAGAGCGUCCGCCGAUGGCCCAACCCAAACAACUCCCAAAUCCAAAUAAUAUUAUACCUAAACGUCUGAAUCAGACCAUUUUGAUACACCAAUCAAAAACAAAACUUUCAACAACGGAUCUCUUGGUUCUGGCAUCGAUGAAGAACGCAGCGAAAUGCGAUAAGUAAUGCGAAUUGCAGAAUUUCCGUGAGUCAUCGAAUCUUUGAACGCACAUUGCGCCCUUUGGCAUUCCGAAGGGCAUGCCUGUUCGAGCGUCAUUAUCCUCUCUCAAACCUCGUGUUUGGUGUUGGGCCGCGUUGGACCACCCGUGGCCAACUGGUCUCAAAGACAAUGACGGCGUCUGAAGGACCCUCUUCGCACUGAGCUUUCUCCGAGGCACGCGUGGAGUUGAAAGGACCCAAGGACCCGGUCACCUCUUAUUUUCUUUUAAGGUUGACCUCGGAUCAGGUAGGAAUACCCGCUGAACUUAAGCAUAUCAAUAAGCGGAGGAAAAGAAACCAACAGGGAUUGCCUCAGUAACGGCGAGUGAAGCGGCAACAGCUCAAAUUUGAAAUCUGGCCUUUAUGGUCCGAGUUGUAAUUUGUAGAGGAUGUUUUGGGCACCGCUCCGGGUUAAAUUUCUUGGAACAGAAUGUCAAAGAGGGUGAGAGUCCCGUCUUGGCCCGCGGUAGGACCUAUGUAAAACUCCUUCGACGAGUCGACUUGUUUGGGAAUGCAGGUCCAAAUGGGUGGUAAAUUUCAUCUAAAGCUAAAUAUUGGCCAGAGACCGAUAGCGCACAAGUAGAGUGAUCGAAAGAUGAAAAGCACUUUGAAAAGAGAGUUAAACAGUAUGUGAAAUUGUUGAAAGGGAAGCGCUGGCAACCAGACUCGAGCGCGGUGUUCCCCUUGGCUUCUGCCUUGGUUAUUUCACCGUGACCGGGCCAUCAUCAGUUUCGGGGGUUGGUUAAAGAUCUAGGGAAUGUAUCCUCUCUUUCGGGGGAGGACUUAUAGCCCUGGAUGUCAUGCAGCCUCCCGGGACUGAGGAACGCGCUUCGGCGAGGAUGAUGGCGUAAUGGUUGUCAGCGACCCGUCUUGAAACACGGACCAAGGAGUCUAACAUCUAUGCGAGUGUUCGGGUGUCAAACCCUUGCGCGGAAUGAAAGUGAACGGAGGUAGGAAGGCCUGAGCCUGCACUAUCGACCGAUCCUGAUGUCUUCGGAUGGAUUUGAGUAAGAGCAUAGCUGUUGGGACCCGAAAGAUGGUGAACUAUGCGUGAAUAGGGUGAAGCCAGAGGAAACUCUGGUGGAGGCUCGCAGCGGUUCUGACGUGCAAAUCGAUCGUCAAAUUUGCGUAUAGGGGCGAAAGACUAAUCGAACCAU
rnacentral:rRNA from 1 species